rnacentral:rRNA from 1 species
AGUGAACGCUGGCGGUAGGCCUAACACAUGCAAGUCGAACGGCAGCACAGUAAGAGCUUGCUCUUACGGGUGGCGAGUGGCGGACGGGUGAGGAAUACAUCGGAAUCUACUUUUUCGUGGGGGAUAACGUAGGGAAACUUACGCUAAUACCGCAUACGACCUACGGGUGAAAGCAGGGGAUCUUCGGACCUUGCGCGAUUGAAUGAGCCGAUGUCGGAUUAGCUAGUUGGCGGGGUAAAGGCCCACCAAGGCGCCGAUCCGUAGCUGGUCUGAGAGGAUGCUCCGUCAGGUGUGAUCUGUAUCUCGCACCAGACUCCUACAGGUGUCACCGGUACGUAGUAUUAGACCAGGAAAGCAGGCCUAGCCGAGGCAUUCCGCGUGAGUGUGGAAAGCCUUCGACCUGUAAAACUCUUUUGUUGCGAAAGAAAAGCUGCCGGUUAAUAACCCCCUGUACUGACGGUACCGGUACAAUCAGCACCGGCUAACUACGUG